CAUAAGGAUUUUCAUUCUUACUUCUUUCGAAUUAAGAGGUGCAACUCUAUGACAUAGUCAUAAAGUUCAAAACCAUUCAACUGAGACGGUUUUAUAAAUCCUUAUCGACUACCUUGGAGCUUGAGGUAUAUAGGAACUAGGUUGUUAUAUUUGUUGAUUACUUUCUUGUCUCUCAAAGAACCCAUUCUUCGAGUUCUAUCUCUCGUUCAUUUGCUUUUAGGCAAAUCACAUUGUAGAAUUACAAUGAACUACCCAACAAAACAACAUUUGUUAGUUGGUUUAUAGAAGCGAUAUCCAAAAGUUAAUUUAAGGAUAUCCUACAAGAUUGUUAUCAAACAAAUAUUGCUUGUUAGCACACAACCCCAAAUCUUUAACAUGCUUAAGAUUUGUCUUUCUUUUCCAACUACAUCUUAUGGAGUCAUGAAAAUAUUGGAAGAUCUUCUCAUUGACAAUCAUAUUGUUUUAGAAGUAUAUAUCCUAUAUAUGGGUAAUUGAUAACAUCUAACGAACUAAAUCUUAUUCGAGUUCGUUCUUCUCCUAAUGGAGAAAUACAUUAUCUUAUGAUGCUAUUUUCCUUGAUAUCUUUCAAGGAAACUCAUCUAAAGUGUUACCUUUCCUUGGAUCAAAUCUAAGGAGGUAAAUACUUUAGACUUCUUACUCAUCAACUUACAUUACUUGUAUUCUUUGAAACAUUUUGCAAAG
rnacentral:lncRNA from 1 species